UCCCUGGAGGACUAGUGGUUAGGCCACGGCGCUACAACUGCCGCAGCCCGGGUUCGAUUUCAGGCCAAGGAA
rnacentral:tRNA from 1 species